UUUCCGUAGGUGUACCUGCGGAAGGAUCGUUAAGGAAUGUACAGUUUUUAGAACUGUGUGAUCUUCCCACUCCGUGUCUACAUACCUUUGUUGCUUUGGCGGGCAACCUUCGGGCGUGGGCCUCGGCUACUAGUCCCCGCCAGAGUACCCAACCUCGGUUUGAUUCGUGAUGUCUGAGUACUAUACCAUAGUCAAAACUUUUAACAAUGGAUCUCUUGGUUAUGGCAUCGAUGAAGAACGGAGCAGAUCUGAAGAGCACACACCUGAACGACAGUCACU
rnacentral:misc_RNA from 1 species